GAACUCUUUCCUUUAACAUUCUCAAUUAACGGGCCCUCCUCAUACCCUGUCUGGUAUAAGCACCAAAUAACUAAACUUCAAUAACCCAUUCGAUAUGAGGGUGAAACGGGCCGUCCCCAUACUCCGUUCUGUAUAAGCACCAAAUUUUUAAGUCUCAAUACCCCGUUUGGUACGAGACAACGUUCACGAUAGGGUUCCUUAUUGUACCUGGUCUAUCCACCAUCUCUCAAGAUAUCCAGUAAGGCUGCCACUUCAUUUAUUCACUUAAUCACACAAUUUUCUGUUUUUCUUUAGUAUCAAUUAUCCAAUUCAAUGGUAAUAACAUAAAUCAAACAAUACAUGCAU
rnacentral:lncRNA from 1 species